AGGACUAUUUUAACACCGCUGUCCAAUAGAGAAAAUAAUUUAGUAAAUAAUAAUAACAAUUUUUAUAUUAAUAUGAACGUAAACGUAACGCAGCAUAAUGUGAACGUAAAAUUGACUAGAAAUUAAUUUAAACAAAAAAAUGGGUCCGUGGUGAAAUUGGUAAAAUCGUUCAGCUUUUCAAUGGGGUGACUGUGACGCCCCAAUCGACUGUGACAUUUGUGAGUUCGAGUUCUACCCAUUGCAAAUGAUUGAUACGUCAAAAUGAACAAAUUUUAACUCACACAUUGUAAACAAAAUAAAAUAUUGUAAAGUGAUGUACAAAAUGGUAUUCACAAAAUGGUAUAACCGGUAGUGGCAUCACUGGUACAUCAAAAUAAAUAGAUAAAUAAUAAUUAAAAAAAAAAUAAUUUCAAAGUAAAGUUACGCUUUGUAAGUUACGUUAUUUAACUAGGUACAUUAGUGAUGUUCCUUUGCACUAAGUAUGAACAUAGGAUUAAAGGAUUAAAAAAAACUUAAACAAUAUUGUAUGCUGCAUUUCAAUUGCUACAAUCUCUAUACCCAGUUUGAAAUAUUUGUUAUGGGUUGUAGGUGCUAUUAGCUUAGACUCUUUUUAUCUCAAUACUUCCGUAAAAAGAAGGCCAAAUAUUUUGAUUACCUUAGCGGAUAUUUAGGGUGUUUGAUAGAGUUUCGAACUCUCGGCACAUAGGGAGUAACAGCUGCAAUAUCCACGUGGAAAUGGUUGAGGAAUUUGCUGGAUGAAAGGGUGUGUUGCUUGUGCCUUUGAACGACCUCCCGCACACAGAAGCCCACCACAUAGCUGGAGUAGUUUCUGUGCUGUGAAGGAAAAAAAAAUCCCAUCAAUUUAUAUGAAGUUGAUUGUUGGAUGGGAACAAUAGUGAAGAGAGCCUGACAGCAAGGAGCUGAACUUGGACUUUGGACAAAAAAGGAGAGACUCAUCGACCUCCUACGUUAACAUUUAAUUGGAAAAGAAGUGGCAGCAAUGGGCUUUUCUCGGUCCUUGUGAGGUAUCACAGCGUGAAAUGGUUUGGUGAAUUUCUUUCGGCAAAUAUUGAUAUACCUCCCCGUGGUGUCUGGCAAACAGGAAGGACAUCUUGGUCAUUGAAGCCCAACUGUGAAAUCUGUCCUGCUUUGUGUAUUCAAGAUCACCAUUGCAAUGCGUGGGUGCACUGUGACUCCCCAGCAGCAGUCUUCCACCUUUCUUGCGUAUACCUGAGCAUCAAAGCGACUGAUAGAACAAAAGGACAUAAACUUAAUCGUUGGAUCCAAUGCUCCGCCCGAUUUUCGGGCGGGUCUCGUAUUUGCCAUCGCCUUCGGUACUGCGCACAUUCCAUUGAGCAAAUGUAAAGCAUUCUGAGAGACAUCUAUUUCAUGAUAACAGCUCCAUUGAUAAAACCCAUAUACUUUCACACAACGGCGUUAUAUAUUUGCUACUCAAUAUCAAACCAGUAGAGCUUUAUGUACUAAACCAUGAGCUUAUUAUAUAAAUGGGUUCUAUUUCGAGAAAAAUGAUAGAAAGUACACUCCAUCAUUUUUUAGACACUUUCUCAUUUCAAAAACAGUGUAAUUAAAGUGGAAUAAGGGCAGAUUAUACAUUAUAUUUAUAUAAAUAAUACAAAGGUCAAAACGGUAAUUAUAAGUUUGAUUAUAUAUAUACAAAUAAUAUGAUAUUUUAUGAUAUGAUAUAUGAUAUUUUAGGAUAUAUACGUACUGGAUAGAAAUGUUAGAUUUUAUUGUUUUUCAUUGCACAUGAUAAUUAUAUUUGGCAUUUUUUAACAGAACAAAUAUUAGUAAAUAAAUUGAUAAUUUAGCAAUAUGUUUACUUACACUGUUUCAUGGUUUUUGUUCGCCACGAUUUUAUAAAUAACUUUAUGUAAGUCUAGCGAUUUUAAAAUAUUUUUAAUAUCAUUUUUUCUUCAAGUUUCAAAAGAAGUUUGCAUAUUUGAAAAAUGUAAGAUAUAUGAAUCCAACAAUACUGCUUAUAUUUUAAUAAACUUAUUUGUGUUAUAAACUUAUUUCGUUAUAAGUUGCCACAGGUUCUUAAUUCUAAAAAAAAUCGACAAUUUGAUAAAUAUUUAUAAAUUAAUUAUUUAUACAAUGGAAAUUGCAAUGGAGGAAUAAUAUUUCUUCAAAAAUAAUUAAAAAAAAUAUUUUC